GUCCACGCCCUAAACGAUGUCUACUAGUUGUCGGGUCUUAAUUGACUUGGUAACGCAGCUAACGCGUUAAGUAUUCCACCUGGGGAGUACGCCGGCAACGGUGAAACUCAAAGGAAUUGACGGGGCCCGCACAAGCGGAGGAACAUGUGGUUUAAUUCGAUGAUACGCGAGGAACCUUACCCGGGCUUGAAUUGCAACUGAAUGAUGUGGAGACAUGUCAGCCGCAAGGCAGUUGUGAAGGUGCUGCAUGGUUGUCGU
rnacentral:rRNA from 1 species